UACGUAGGGGGCUAGCGUUGUCCGGAAUCAUUGGGCGUAAAGAGCGUGUAGGCGGCCCGGUAAGUCCGCUGUGAAAGUCGGGGGCUCAACCCUCGAAUGCCGAUGGAUACUGUCGGGCUAGAGUGCGGAAGAGGCGAGUGGAAUUCCUGGUGUGAGCGGUGAAAUGCGCAGAGUAUCAGGAGGAACACCAAUUGCGAAGGCAGCUCGCUGGGACGUAACUGACGCUGAGACGCGAAAGCGUGGGGAGCAAACAGG
rnacentral:rRNA from 1 species